CUUUAAAGGAUCCUAGUCUAAU
rnacentral:tRNA from 1 species